rnacentral:lncRNA from 1 species
CUGGGGUUGGUAUUCGAUCUAAAUCCGAAGAUUUUUUUCUUGGAUUUACGUUAGGGUUUCUGAGAUUUCAUAGUGAUCUGGUCUAUUAUUUGGAAUCCUUUUUAUUCGGCUAAUUUAAAUUAUGGGUUUUAGUCCUUGUUAAUAGUCAUUUCUUUUUUUCUUCUUGAUUUUGCUCCGAUUUAUAGGUUCAAUGGCACUAACCUAUGGAUGUUCGAUCUGGCUCUGAAAUGAUCAUUGUUCAUCUGUAAUUUAUUU